rnacentral:tRNA from 1 species
GCGUCCGUCGUCCAACGGCAGGGCCUCACGCUUCCAACGUGAAGAUGACUGGUUCGAAUCCAGCCGGACGCUCCA